rnacentral:pre_miRNA from 1 species
CCAGUCCUGUGCCUGCCGCCUUUGUGCUGUCCUUGGAGGGAGGCAGAAGCAGGAUGACAA